GUCGAACGGAGUUGAGGAGGCUUGCUCCUCAACUUAGUGGCGGACGGGUGAGUAACGCGUGAGUAACCUGCCUCUGGAGAGGGGGAAUAACGUUACUGAAAAGAACGCUAAUACCGCAUGACACAUAUUUGCCGCAUGACAGAUAUGUCAAAGAUUUUUAUCGCUCAGAGAUGGACUCGCGUCCGAUUAGUUAGUUGGUCGAGGUAACGGCUCACCAAGACCGCGAUCGGUAGCCGGACUGAGAGGUUGAACGGCCACAUUGGGACUGAGACACGGCCCAGACUCCUACGGGAGGCAGCAGUGGGGGAUAUUGCGCAAUGGGGGCAAACCCCUGACGCAGCAACGCCGCGUGAAGGAUGAAGGUUUUCGGAUUGUAAACUUCUUUUCUCAGGGACGAAAUUUGACGGUACCUGAGGAAUAAGCUCCGGCUAACUACGUGCCAGCCGCCGC
rnacentral:rRNA from 1 species